rnacentral:rRNA from 1 species
UACAGGGGUCUCAAGCGUUGUUCGGAUUCACUGGGCGUAAAGGGCGUGUAGGCGGCGCCGCAAGUCGGGUGUGAAAUUUCGGAGCUUAACUCCGAAACUGCAUUCGAUACUGCGGUGCUUGAGGACUGGAGAGGAGACUGGAAUUCAUGGUGUAGCAGUGAAAUGCGUAGAGAUCAUGAGGAAGACCAGUGGCGAAGGCGGGUCUCUGGACAGUAACUGACGCUGGGGAGCGAAAGCGUGGGGAGCGAACAGG